GACGAACGCUGGCGGCGUGCUUAACACAUGCAAGUCGAACGGAAAGGCCCUGCUUUUGUGGGGUGCUCGAGUGGCGAACGGGUGAGUAACACGUGAGUAACCUGCCCUUGACUUUGGGAUAACUUCAGGAAACUGGGGCUAAUACCGGAUAGGAGCUCCUGCUGCAUGGUGGGGGUUGGAAAGUUUCGGCGGUUGGGGAUGGACUCGCGGCUUAUCAGCUUGUUGGUGGGGUAGUGGCUUACCAAGGCUUUGACGGGUAGCCGGCCUGAGAGGGUGAACGGCCACAUUGGGACUGAGAUACGGCCCAGAAUCCUACGGGAGGCAGCAGGGGGGAAUAUUGCACAAUGGGCGGAAGCCUGAUGCAGCAACGCCGCGUGCGGGAUGACGGCCUUCGGGUUGUAAACCGCUUUCGCCUGUGACGAAGCGUGAGUGACGGUAAUGGGUAAAGAAGCACCGGCUAACUACGUG
rnacentral:rRNA from 1 species